UUACCUGACCCCUGUACCUGAUGGAGGGGGAGUGUAGGACCCAGAAGUGACCACUGGCCUAGACAGGAAAUCAACCAGAAUGACACCUUGCAUGCUGUCGACAGCACCUGUGUGGAUGAGUUUUAGCUGCUGGAGUCAAUCCAGGUAUUAAGAUCACCAGGUGAAGUGAUGAGACUCCAUCUUCCCUCUCUGCAAUGCCUGAGGAUUCAUGGGAAAUGUAGGCAGCAUUAAGGAACCAUUUGCAGUCAGUAUGGCUAAAAACCCCACGCCUGCCACAUCAGCUAAAACAGAAAUCCUGACUUAUAAAAAAGACCACUAGGGGUCCCCAUACCAUCAAGGGCAUAAGCCGGUCCGGGUGUAGCAUCAUAUUUGUCCCAGCUGAAGCACAGGCUGGGACAAAGGCCAGUAAGUGAAGGUGGGACUAGCAUUCAUCAGUGCUCACUCCUGUCCUAUCAGACUUCAGUAUGAAAACAGAGAGGAGGGGGUUACAGAGAAGCCUGCAGUGAUUGGAUGAAGACCCUGUACAGCACAACAGACUCAGGGAGGAGGAGGAGUCAUACAGAGUGAAGACACGCCCCCUCCAUAGCACAAAAUGACAAAACAAGUUGAUUGGCGAUUGUUCAGGGCACAAAGUACAACUGAAAAUGGUCUCCAGGGUCGGACUGGAAUUCUUCUAUGGUACAGAAUCAAGCAGAGCUUCACAUGGGAUAAUACUUCUAGCAGACUAAUAUUAGUCACACUGAA